CAGAUUGUGUUCUCAAUGUCCAUAGCUGCCGCAGGUGUUUACGGUGGAGGUGUCGCCAUCAAAAACCAUCAGCAAAAACACCACCAAGUCAAUGAUACAAGUAUAAGAGGAAGUUUUGCCAUGCAAUAGUCGACCGCUAACGCCCUUUUCGAUCAAUUUCGUAAGUACGUAUCGAAACAGUCAUAUCGUUGCCAACUAGCUUAAUCCUCAUCUUCUAGGUGUAAAGAGUACUACCAGAGACGCAAGAAAAGCAAGAAUACAAUCCAAAAAGUUUCAGCCUUGACUGUAAAUUAAGUGAAUUCAAUUCAAACACUAAGGAUUGCACUGGCUUAACGGUGGCAAUCAUUCGGAGGCAAAUGGGCUGGCCUGACAAGAAUCCCCUUUAAGUUAAACAAAUUCAGAUCAGUCUCUCGGCGACCACUGACGAUGUCGGCGAGUUGAAUCCAUCGAUUUUCAUACAGAAAAUCAACAUCAAAAACAUCAAGCCAAUUCAGCAGCGUCAUGGCCAACCUGCCUAUUAACCAAACCAUCUCUAUUCGCAGUGGAAGUGUUUGUGGAUCAAGCGAUCUCUGCGUGUCAACAAUGCGAACACAAUGUCAUUAGGCUGGAGUACCAACCUGGACCCUUGUAUUGCAAAAGCGCGCGAAGAUCAGUGUAACUGCGAUGCAGCGGCUACUGCAGCCGCUGAGGCUGACACCGCCUGGAAGAGGUAGGUGAUACGAAUGCCGGUUGAGAAGGAAAUUGUUGGGACAGUAUAGUACCUCCUCAAUGACGGGAGUCUCAAGUCAUUGAAAUCCCUGCAAUUUUAAGAAACUUGAAGACUAACGAAAUGAAGCUGAAUUCCAUGUUUAGAAUUAACUGGAAACGACACAAGAAUGCCCGUACAAACUGCCCUUAUGAUGUUCCAAGAGUUGCUGCGCAAAUGGUCGCGAGCCGGCAACCUUCAUAUAGUGAAAAUAUCGGAUUGGA